rnacentral:rRNA from 1 species
AGCGAACGCUGGCGGCAGGCCUAACACAUGCAAGUCGAACGGCAGCACAGUAAGAGCUUGCUCUUACGGGUGGCGAGUGGCGGACGGGUGAGGAAUACAUCGGAAUCUACUCUUUCGUGGGGGAUAACGUAGGGAAACUUACUCUAAUAUCGCAUACGCUCUACGGGUGAAAGCAUGGGAUCUUCGCACCUUGCGCGAUUGAAUGAGCCGAUGUUGGAUUAGCUGGUUGGCGGGGUAAAGGCCCACCAAGUCGACGAUCCGUAGCCGGUCUGAGAGGAUGAUCGGCGACACUAGAACGGGGACGCGGUCCAGAGUCCUGAGGGAGGCAGCAGUGGGGAAUAUUAGGCAAUGGGCGCGAACCUGAUCCAGCCGGAGCACGUGGGUGGAGAAGGCCUUCGGGUUGUAAAGCCCUUUUGUUGGGAAUAAAAAGCAGCAGGUUAAUACCAAGCGUUUCUGACGGUACCCAGUGAAUAAGCACCGGCUAACUUCGUG